UGACUGCUUGGAGUUUGAUGUCCUGA
rnacentral:piRNA from 1 species